UGCUCUUGGUUACUCAGGGGAGCUUCUUGGACUGAUAAUUGACUCAUUCCUUAAUGUGCACUAUAGGGAGAGUUAUCCCUAUGAUGGGAGUCCUCUGAUUAGGAAAGGUGAUGAAACAUUUGUCCCUAACUUUAGCUGGGUGAUCCGUUGUACCACCUUGGCCCUGGAAGGCAUUCAUGUCAGUGGCAACUCACUGGCCAGGGUGGAGGUGGUAUGGAUGACAGACUUGCCCUAGGCUUCCUCCCUGUGAACCACCAGUGGAGAUUAUGUAACAUCUAAUAUAUCCUGCUGUACCUGGAUUAAUGACUUGGGCUGAGUGGAAAGGUCAAUAUUUGAGAAAGUCACUUGGCUUACUUAGGUAGACCUUGAUGGUUUAUAGGAUUUGUUCAGCCUAUUGAGUUGAAAACCCUGGGGUCAGCUGGGCGCGGUAGCUCACGUCUGUAAUCCCAGCACUUGGGGAGGCCAAGGCGGAUGGAUCACAAGGUCAGGAGAUUGAGACCAUCCUGGCUAACACGGUGAAACCCCAUCUCUACUAAAAAUACAAAAACAAAAUUAGCCGGGCAUGGUGGCGGGCGCCUGUAGUCCCAGCUACUUGGGAGGCUGAGGCAGAAUGGCGUGAACCUGGGAGGCGGAGCUUGCAGUGAGCCGAAAUCGCACCACUGCACUCCAGCCUGGGCAACACAGAGAGACUCCGUCUCAAAAACAAACAAACAAACAAAACAAAACAAAACAAAACAAAAGAACAACAAAAAAAGAGAAAACCUUGGGGUCAGGACUGGGGUUAACAUUGCAGGUUGGACUCAUUCUGCUGUUUGAAAUGCUGUUCAUUAAAUUAAAUUCUGUAAGACACACUGAACUGAUUUGCUCUAUGCCUAUUGGCCAGAUUAAUCAGUGACUGAUAAAAUGGCAUACCCAUAAGAAAACUGUCAGAAGCCAAGACAGUAUAGAAAUGAGGGGUGAAUAUUAUUGGGAGAUAAUUCUUCACAGGUCUCUCACAUUUCUGUAUGUGUCUUGCCAGCUAAAACUAUGAAGGCCUUUGUUCUGGACUAUCUUUUCAAGGAAGCUGGUAUGGCCUUGGAAGACAGACACAGGCGCUUUGCAUCCAUAUAGCAAAGGACAGGUGUUCUUGUGACCUUGGUGGAGAUAAUGCCUCCCGUUAGUGCAAAGGGAAGGCAUACCAACCAUCCAAUAUAAAAGACACAAAUUCUGUUAGCUCUCUUCCCUCCUCCUUUCCUCAAUAAAACCCACUGCAUGUGCAGGAUUCACUUGGUCCUCUUUGUGUUGCCCUAUGGGAACUAGGCUUGGGAAAUGGCUGUAAGAAAAUGCUGGUACUCUGGCUAUUACUAUUGCUGUAAUAAACUGUCCUUUGUAUCUGACCCAAGAGUGUCUUGUCUAGUUGGGUGCAGUGACUCACGCCUGUAAUCCCAGCACUUUGGGAGGCCAAGGCAGGUGAAUCACCUGAGGACAGGAGUUUGAGACCAGCUUGGCCAACGUGGUGAAACCCCAUCUCUACUAAAAAUACACAAAUUAGCUGGGUGUGGUGGCAGGAGCCUGUAAUCUCAGCUACUCAGGAGGCUGAAGCAGGAGAAUCGUUUGAACCUGGGAGGCGGAGGUUGCAGUGAGCUGAGAUUACACCACUGCACAUCAGCCUGGGCAACAGAGCGAGGCUCCGUCUCUUUAAAAAAAAAAAAAAAAAAAA
ensembl:lncRNA